rnacentral:rRNA from 1 species
GACGUAGGAGGCGAGCGUUGUCCGGAUUCAUUGGGCGUAAAGAGCACGCAGGCGGUUUGGCAAGUCGGAUGUGAAAACCCGAAGCUCAACUUCGGGCCUGCAUCCGAAACUGCCCGACUAGAGGUAGGUAGGGGAGAUCGGAAUUCCUGGUGUAGCGGUGAAAUGCGCAGAUAUCAGGAAGAACACCCGUGGCUAAGGCGGCUCUCUAGUACGUGACUGACGCUGAGACGCGAAAGCGUGGGGAGCGAACAGG